CCCCGGUUGGUGUAGUUGGUUAGCACAUUGCCUCUUCUUACUGGUGUCUUCUGUCCCAGUGUAGACUGACUUUCCCUUAAGCCAAAGGCAAAGGUCACAAAUUCGAAUCUUGUACAGGGGA